CAAAAAUUUAAUUCUAAUUUUUCUAGUUUUGUUAUAGUAUAUGUAAGAUAUUAGUAAGUUUUGCAGUGCUUUGUUUUAUACAAUAAUUAUUGAUAUUGAUAGAGAGUAAAAUAUGAUAAAUUUGUGCCAGCAUCAGCGGUUAUACAAAUUAUUUAAAUUUAUUAUUAUUAUUUUAAUGUUUAUGUUUAUUAAUGAUUAAAAGUAAAAGGUGAAAUUUUUUUUUAAUUAAAUACAUAUUAGUGAUAAAGUAUUUAAUGGAUAAAACUAGGAUUAGAUACCCUAUUAUUGUUAUUUAUAUAUUGUUUAGUAGUACAGUUUUGGAAACUUAAGGAAUUUGAUGGUAGUUUUAUUCUACUUAGAGGAACUUGUAUGUUAAUCGAUAAUACCCGUUUAAUUGAUUUGAGUUGAUGGUUUGUAUAUCAUUGUUGUAAGAAGUUUAUUUUUUAAUUUUUAAAUUUUAUUAUAUAGCAAAUCAAGGUGCAGUUUAUGUUCAAAGUUAAUAUGAGUUACAUUAAUUUUAAUAAUUAGAUUAGUUAUGAAAAAAAUAUGACAUUGGAUUUAAUUGUAAUUUGUUGAAAUUGAUACUAUGAAAAGGAACUAAAUUGUUUACAUAUUGCCCGUCACUCUCGAUAUUUAUUUUUGAGAAAAGUCGUAACAUAGUAGGUGUAUCGGAAGAUGUAUCUGGAUU
rnacentral:ncRNA from 1 species